GACGAACGCUGGCGGCGUGCUUAACACAUGCAAGUCGAACGGAAAGGCCCUGCUUGCCGGGUACUCGAGUGGCGAACGGGUGAGUAACACGUGGGUGAUCUGCCCUGCACUUCGGGAUAAGCCUGGGAAACUGGGUCUAAUACCGGAUAGGAGCCAUUUUUAGUGUGAUGGUUGGAAAGUUUUUUCGGUGUAGGAUGAGCUCGCGGCCUAUCAGCUUGUUGGUGGGGUAAUGGCCUACCAAGGCGGCGACGGGUAGCCGGCCUGAGAGGGUGGACGGCCACAUUGGGACUGAGAUGCGGCCCAGACUCCGACGGGGGGCAGCAGUGGGGAAUAUUGCACAAUGGGCGCAAGCCUGAUGCAGCGACGCCGCGUGGGGGAUGACGGCCUUCGGGUUGUAAACUCCUUUCGCUAGGGACGAAGCUUUUUGUGACGGUACCUAGAGAAGAAGCACCGGCUAACUACGUG
rnacentral:rRNA from 1 species